UUUACCAGACCCGGAAGGCGCGGGCCUUAGUGGCGGACGGGUGAGUAACGCGUGGGGAACCUGCCCCGUACCGGGGGAUAACACCUGGAAACAGGUGCUAAUACCGCAUAACAGAAGGGGACGCAUGUUUCUUUCUUGAAAACUCCGGUGGUACGGGAUGGACCCGCGUCUGAUUAGCUGGUUGGCGGGGUAACGGCCCACCAAGGCGACGAUCAGUAGCCGGCCUGAGAGGGCGGACGGCCACAUUGGGACUGAGACACGGCCCAAACUCCUACGGAAGGCAGCAG
rnacentral:rRNA from 1 species